ACGCGUAUCACUCCUACGGGAGGCAGCAAGUUGAGGAAUAUUGGACGAAUGGGGGCAACCCUGAUCCAGCCAUGCCGCGUGCAGGAAGACUGCCCUAUGGGUUGUAAACUGCUUUUGUACAGGAAGAAACAUUCCCUCGUGAGGGAGCUUGACGGUACUGUAAGAAUAAGGAUCGGCUAACUACGUGCCAGCAGCCGCGGUAAUACGGAGGAUCCAAGCGUUAUCCGGAAUCAUUGGGUUUAAAGGGUCCGUAGGUGGACGAUUAAGUCAGGGGUGAAAGUCUGCAGCUCAACUGUAGAAUUGCCUUUGAUACUGGUUGUCUUGAAUUAUUGUGAAGUGGUUAGAAUAUGUAGUGUAGCGGUGAAAUGCAUAGAUAUUACAUAGAAUACCAAUUGCGAAGGCAGAUCACUAACAAUAUAUUGACACUGAUGGACGAAAGCGUGGGGAGCGAACAGGAUUAGAUACCCUGGUAG
rnacentral:rRNA from 1 species